CUCAGAGGCAGACUCAGUUAAUACACUAGGGCUGGGGCCUGGGAGAUAUCAUUGAGAAUUCGAGUUCGAGAUAGGGUAUUAGGGUUUGCUUACUGCUUCAGCCUUCGGUGCUUAGGAGAUAUCAUCGAGAACUCACUCCUCACAAAUUUAUGAUCCUCACCUUCUGAAUCGGGAGAAUCAUGUUUAUUGACAAAGACCAUAUUAAUUUGCUAUGAAUGUGGUAAAUCUGCGAUGUUCCACUUAUUACGUUUAACUUGGGAAAAAGUAGUUGUUUUACUUAAACUAUGGAAGGAGGUAACUUAAUUUCUUGUUGGAGUCUGAUGUAUUUUUAUUUGGACGCGGUAAUUUAUUUUCUUGAACUUUUGUUUUGUGGCAGGAGUAGGACCUCUAAAUUCUAAUAUCAUUAUUGUGGCAAAACAUCUGCGUCAUUAUCAAUCAUGAAUUACCUGGAAUACACCCCUCUUGAUCGGUAAGCUUUGACAUGUAAUGACAUUCAAAUACCUGGAAUACACCCCUCUUCACUGAGGCUCGGUGCAAUCACGCACAACACUUCAUAUGUUUACUAUUUUGCAACACCCUAUUAUGGAACUUUUUUUUAGCAUUAAGGGCUGAUUGGUGAGAAAAUAAUACAAUUUUGUUAACUUCAUUAAAAGAAAAAGGAAUCCAUGUAUUUAAGUUUAAAAUAGAAGGCCUCUUUUAAUAUUGGCUGAUGAGGUAAUUGCUUUUAUGAACAUGCUCUGGAUUGAGUACAUCUAGGAUAAAAAGGAUAUGGGCUCCUAUUCAAUAACCUCUGCAGAUCCUGAAAAAAAUCACAGGGAACUUACAGAGUUCAAUCUGUAUAUACCAUUUUUUGUUUUAUUUAUCAAGGCCAAUCGACAAUGGAUGUACUGGCGCUCUGCUUUGGAUAGUAACAAGCUUUGACUGUGAACUCCCUUUCCCAUUCANCUCUACUUUAGUUUGUCUCCUCUGGGGUUUUGUGCUUGUUCCAGUUUAAGUAGCAACUCUAUUGCGGUGUUUAGCUUCCAAUCCCGCUAAUACUUUCUGAACAUAAUACCCCAUGGGUUCCCAAUUUUGCAGUAAUCUAUGCAUGCUUUAGGGUGCAUCCCAAGUUGGAAUUGUUCUUGGAAUUCUUCCUUUAAGGUAUAUUUGUCUUCUUUAAGGAAUUAUUUCAAUCCAUUUGUUGUGCCAGAGGCUAAUAUGUUCUUCACCUCCUUCAUCAAAGUAGAUGUGGGAGCUGAAUUAUUCCCAAUAUAUGUGCUUCCAGGGUGUGAACCCACGUAGGCUGUUGUCACCUUUGUGCACCAGUGAUUCUGCUCUCCAAAUUUAGCAAGUUCAAACCCUUUUCCUGAGUCCCAUUAUCUUUGUCAAGAGGGUUUAGGUCCAGAUGUGUCACUUGCAUGAUUUGAUUAUAAAUGCUUUUUUUCAAUAAUAGUGGCAUCCGGUCCAGCUUACGCGCUCCUUCAUUAUUCCACCAGGUACCUGCCAUCUCUCCCAAUAAUAGGUACCGGGUAACUCUGCCCACCAAAUGGGAAAAAAUCACCUUGUGCUUUUGACUAUAAAUGCUUCUAAUCCUGGUCUCUACUCUUCUGUCCUACUUGAUUGGUCAUCCAACCUUUGAUUUAGAGAAUAGAAGAGCUUUAACACACGUAGAAGUAUGUUGUGCUUAUCUUGAUGUUCGCAUUCUUAUAUUUUCUUUCUCAGUCAGACAGAUAAAGAAAGUUACACCUUCCUCCCAAUAUGUAGACAUAAUAGUAGGAAGCUAGAAAAAUUAAAUCUCACUAUUUUCAAUCAUGAAAAAACUUUUUUGUGCUCAUUAUUGUAUAUUUAUACUUUUAUAUUCUUCACCCUCCCUCAUGUUGUGAAGCCUCAUUUAGUUCUUUUAACUUCAGUUGUUUAUGACAGUAUCCAGGAAGUUGUUGGUUCGAUUUUCUUCUUGUUGUGUUGUUACUAGUAGCUAAUAUAGUUUCUUCUUUCGCGGGAUUAUAAAGUAACUUUUGGUUGCAAAUUUUUGAUUAUCUUGGAAGAUCUUCGGACAUCGAUUCUUCUUCACCUGUUGAAUAUCUAAGCUGCAGAUCGAGGUGGUGAAUCCAGACCUACGGCUGGAGUAUUAAAUCUGAAACAAGUGUAUUUUUGUUCAUAAUGUAAUUUUUUUCUAUAUUUUUGUUCCAGUCGGACAACUAAUUGAAGAUCUUGGUGGACAAAAAAUAGUUGUUAAACAGUGCACCGAAAUAUUGAUUAUUUCAUUGUUAAACCGAAACCGUACCGAAACC
rnacentral:lncRNA from 1 species